GAUGAACGCUGGCGGCGUGCCUAAUACAUGCAAGUCGAGCGAACGGACGAGAAGCUUGCUUCUCUGAUGUUAGCGGCGGACGGGUGAGUAACACGUGGAUAACCUACCUAUAAGACUGGGAUAACUUCGGGAAACCGGAGCUAAUACCGGAUAAUAUUUUGAACCGCAUGGUUCAAAAGUGAAAGACGGCCUUGCUGUCACUUCUAGAUGGAUCCGCGCUGCAUUAGCUAGUUGGUAAGGUAACGGCUUACCAAGGCAACGAUGCAUAGCCGACCUGAGAGGGGGAUCGGCCACACUGGAACUGAGACACGGUCAAGACUCCUAAGGGAGGCAGCAGUAGGGAAUCUUCCGCAAUGGGCGAAAGCAUGACGGAGCAACGCCGCGUGAGUGAUGAAGGUCUUCGGAUCGUAAAACUCUGUUAUUAGGGAAGAACAUAUGUGUAAGGAACUGUGCACAUCGUGACGGUACCUAAUCAGAAAGCCACGGCUAACUACGUG
rnacentral:rRNA from 1 species